rnacentral:rRNA from 1 species
UACGUAGGGCGCAAGCGUUAUCCGGAAUUAUUGGGCGUAAAGAGCUCGUAGGCGGUUUGUCGCGUCUGCCGUGAAAGUCCGGGGCUCAACUCCGGAUCUGCGGUGGGUACGGGCAGACUAGAGUGAUGUAGGGGAGACUGGAAUUCCUGGUGUAGCGGUGAAAUGCGCAGAUAUCAGGAGGAACACCGAUGGCGAAGGCAGAUCGUCUGGUGAUUAACUGACGCUGAGGAGCGAAAGCAUGGGGAGCGAACAGG